rnacentral:rRNA from 1 species
CAGCAGCCACGGUAAUACGGAGGGUGCAAGCGUUAAUCGGAAUUACUGGGCGUAAAGCGCACGCAGGCGGUCUGACAAGUCAGAUGUGAAAUCCCCGGGCUUAACCUGGGAACUGCAUUUGAAACUGUCAGGCUGGAGUCUUGUAGAGGGGGGUGGAAUUCCAGGUGUAGCGGUGAAAUGCGUAGAGAUCUGGAGGAAUACCGGUGGCGAAGGCGGCCCCCUGGACAAAGACUGACGCUCAGGUGCGAAAGCGUGGGGAGCAAACAGGAUUAGAUACCCGUGUAGUCCCUGUCUCUUAUCC